rnacentral:rRNA from 1 species
CCCUUAGAUGUUCUGGGCCGCACGCGCGCUGCACUGAUGCAUUCAACGAGUUUCUUCCUGGUCCGAGAGGAAUGGGUAACCUUUUGAAAGUGCAUCGUGAUAGGGAUAGACUAUUGCAAUUAUUGGUCUUCAACGAGGAAUUCCUAGUAGACGUAGUUCAUCAGACUGCAUCGAUUACGUCCCUGCCCUUUGUACACACCGCCCGUCGCUACUACCGAUUGAAUGGCUUAGUGAGGCCUCAGGAUCCGCGCUUAAUGUGUGGAGAAUUUGGACAAACUACGUCAUUUAGAGGAAGUAAAAGUCGUAACA